UGCAAGGCAUUAGAAAAUGCUAUUAUCAGAAAGGCAUUCUAGGGCAUGGCAGUAAAAAUACCAUUUCAUUACAACUAACGCUUCAAAUCCAUCUAAGGUACUAGAGAAUGAAGAAAGAAAGAAGCUAAUAAUCUAUGACUUACAGUUCUAAAGAAAGCAGGCCUGGACAUGGAUGUUAAAAUACACUGACAGUAGCUGCCAGACUCAUCAGCAGCAGUUGGUUGUUGAGUCUGUGUGUUUGAAACAUCAUUACUUAAACAUUAUCUGGCUCAGUAAAUUGUGCUUCCUGCGAAUUUGAGAUUAUGCACUAUCUCCCUCUCUUUCUUCCUAAGAAUAUGUGAGUAUGGAGAGGCUUAUUUAUAACUGGGCCUGCAAAGCAGCACAUGGAGAGAUUAAAGAGCAGGCUGAUGUCACCAUGGGACAGAGAGGUUGCUAAAUCUGGAAGCGAUUCGAUGAGAGAGCAUGGAAGGUACACCUUUCAAAUCGCAGGGACAUGAUUUGAAAAAGAUGAUGGUAUCGCAGGACCUAAAAUUCAUUAGCCACAGCUUCAUGACAUGGGACUCACAGGUCCCCUAAAGUGGAAAGUAAAAGCAGUAUUUUCAGUCAUGUAUAUCAACGUUUCCAUUUGCUAUGCAUAUCCAACUUUCCUGCAAUACAAAACAUCUAAAAUGGAUGGAAUGACCUAAAAUGUGAC